rnacentral:SRP_RNA from 1 species
GCUGGGUGAGUAGCGAUCGCCUGUAACCCAUGCGGGAGCUGGAUCUGUGUGAAUGGUCGGUCGUGCCUAGGGCUGAUCAGAGAUCGGCCGCCCGUCCCAAGGGGCCACCAGGUCUGGGUGGGAUGAUGGAAGUCGUCGCAUCCGGACAUCUGAAGAAGCGGGUACAGGCUAAGGCUGGGAACAGAGCAGGCAAUACCGCGCGGUGGAAUCAGUGAGGAUGGAAAGUGGUCGAGAGACUGGUAGCCUGGGCAAUAACAUCGACAUGCCAAACACAAAGAUCGU